rnacentral:rRNA from 1 species
CCUACGGGAGGCAGCAGCCGCGGUAAUAUUGCGCAAUGGAGGAAACUCUGACGCAGUGACGCCGCGUGCAGGAAGAAGGUUUUCGGAUUGUAAACUGCUUUAGACAGGGAAGAAAAAAGACAGUACCUGUAGAAUAAGCUCCGGCUAACUACGUGCCAGCAGCCGCGGUAAU